GCUGGGUACAGUGGCGCGUGCCUGUAGUCCCAGCUACUUGGGAGGCUGAGGCGGGAGAAUCGCUUGAACCCAGGAGGUGGAGGUUGCAAUGAGUCAAGAUCACGCCAUUGUACUCCAGCCUGGGCAACAGAGCGAGAUUCCGUCUCAA
ensembl:misc_RNA Metazoa_SRP Metazoan signal recognition particle RNA